GAUGAAGAACGUAGCGAAAUGCGAAAAGUAGUGUGAAUUGCAGAAUUCAGUUAAUCAUCGAAUCUUUGAACGCACAUUGCGCCCCUUGGUAUUCCAUGGGGCAUGCCUGUUCGAGCGUCAUUUGUACCCUCAAGCUCUGCUUGGUGUUGGGUGUUUGUCCCGUUUCACGCGUGGACUCGCCUUAAAGCAAUUGGCAGCCGGCAUACUGGCCUUGGAGCGCAGCACAAUUUGCGCUUCUUGCCCUGAAUGUCAGCGUCCAUCAAGUCUACAUUUUUACUCUUGACCUCGGAUCAGGUAGGGAUACCCGCUGAACUUAAGCAUAUCAAUAAGCGGAGGA
rnacentral:misc_RNA from 1 species